CUUUCUGGUUUCUCUCUGGGCUUCCUGCUCGGGUCACAAGCGCCAGAAGCGCCGGCGGCUGCGGGGAAACGAUAAAACUCUGCAAAGACAAUGUCUAGCACUUAUAUCUCCAGUAACUCCUGUCAAGGUUUAUUGUUGCUUGUUCAUCAUUGCAGUCCUGACUACAAGUGUGAUUGCACUUUCUAUUGUUUUGUCAGAAUUUCCUGAAAAGAUACAAAGGCCCUUCUGACCAUUGGAUUGGCCUUAGAAGAGAAUCAUCCCAUCGCAUUUGGAAAUGGACAGACAACAUGGAAUAUAAUAACAUGCUUGCUAUCAGAGGAAGUGGAGAAUGUGCCUUCCUGAAUGACAAUGGAGUCAACAGUGGCAGAAUCUACAUGAACAGAAAAUGGAUUUGUAGCAAGCCAAACAAUUAUGUCUACAGUUGCCAGUUAUGUCCCCACUGGGAUACUACCUAGUAGAGCUGUGAGAAGAGGGCCACCAUCCUCCAGACUCCAGAAUGGUGGAAUCAGCAGCAGCUUCCACCAUGCCCCUGGAAAAACUGCAAGUAACAGACCUGCACAUGUAUCCCCUACAUCUAAAAUAAAAGUUGGAAAAAAUGGAACUUUGAUGUUAAGAUGCACUGAUACAAAACUUAAAUUUUGGUCUCCUACAUUAAAACAAUAUGAGUCUCUUAAAAUAUUGAUUUGUUCUUAGUAAGAUUACAAGAGGCUUUGAUUUUUAAUUCUGCAAUGUUUCCUUAACAGCCAUUCUGAAUUACAAACUAAUUCCUAUUUCUGCCACAUUCCUUCCUGAGAACUGUCUAGUCCUGGUUUGGGAUUUAUCUUAAAGGUCUAGAAAGGCAACAUUUUACUUCAGCAAAACUUGAUUCUAUAUUGUUGUUUUUUCUUAAUGUGUCAAAAUUGUUUUGUUACUAGGAUUUCCUAUGUUGUUAUUAAAUGUAUUCCCCUGAUCAAGGUCACUGGCCUAGAAAACAAAGAUUCUGUGUUUUACCAAGAUAAUUCCCAGUGCUUCAUGGUGUCUUUAUUAGGCUUUGACUGCUUAGGGAAACUGAGCCUUAAAAGGGUAAAAGUUUUUCCAUCCAUGUAACUUUCUGAGGUCUUUAGGUUGUCACUCUGAUUAAAUGAGUAGUAUUCUUAGCAGUGACUUAUUAUCUGUUGAAGGAAGUAUUUUAAGCUUUUUGACAUCUUUGGCAGGUUUCUCUAGAAUCCAAAUCCUAAAUUAAGCCUUUUGGCCUAAAAAUGACUGGGAUUUUUCCAGGUGGACCCCCUAGAUAUGCUCCUCCAAAGGCUUGUCUUUCUUGUAGAGUUAUUAAAUGAUUAGGCUUAUUUGGCAAAUACUGCUAGAAGCAUUGUCAAAUAAGAAAUGGUGUUUUACCUUUCUUUAAGCUGUGUUUGUGUAAGUUCAUCAUUUAUAGAAAUGUGAAAUUUUAUGAGAUUCCUAAGAUACUGACAUGCUGAGAUACCUGUAAUAAUUGCAAUUUUUAUGUUGGAUGAUUGUAUGCCACAGAAGCACUUAAAUUUCCUGGUUAAUUGGUAACGUUAAUCAGAUCUUUACCUAUGGCUGUUCUGGGUUUUUGUCAUUCACAGUUAUUAUUUUAAUUUCUUCUUUGGAAGCGUUCGCAAUCAGCUAUAGUCCAAAAUUGCUAAUUAAGAUCAAGCAAAACAAAAUUAAUUACGUAAAAUUAAUUUAUAAGGAUGUUUUUAUGACGUAAAUGUUUUAUUUUCCAGAGCCAAGGAAAUUUUCUGUCACAAGCUAUCUACCGUUUGCAAUAAUUUGAUAAAUAAUCCUUUGUGAACAA
rnacentral:lncRNA from 1 species